rnacentral:rRNA from 1 species
GAGUUUGAUCCUGGCUCAGGAUGAACGCUGGCGGCGUGCUUAACACAUGCAAGUCGAGCGAUGAAGUUUCCUUCGGGAAAUGGAUUAGCGGCGGACGGGUGAGUAACACGUGGGUAACCUGCCUCAUAGAAUGGAAUAGCCUUCCGAAAGGAAGAUUAAUACCGCAUAAUGUUGAAAGAUGGCAUCAUCAUUUAACCAAAGGAGCAAUCCGCUAUGAGAUGGACCCGCGGCGCAUUAGCUAGUUGGUGGGGUAACGGCCUACCAAGGCGACGAUGCGUAGCCGACCUGAGAGGGUGAUCGGCCACAUUGGGACUGAGACACGGCCCAGACUCCUACGGGAGGCAGCAGUGGGGAAUAUUGCACAAUGGGGGGAACCCUGAUGCAGCAACGCCGCGUGAGUGAUGAAGGUUUUCGGAUCGUAAAGCUCUGUCUUUGGGGAAGAUAAUGACGGUACCCAAGGAGGAAGCCACGGCUAACUACGUGCCAGCAGCCGCGGUAAUACGUAGGUGGCGAGCGUUAUCCGGAUUUACUGGGCGUAAAGGGAGCGUAGGCGGAUGAUUAAGUGGGAUGUGAAAUACCCGGGCUCAACUUGGGUGCUGCAUUCCAAACUGGUUAUCUAGAGUGCAGGAGAGGAGAGUGGAAUUCCUAGUGUAGCGGUGAAAUGCGUAGA